rnacentral:misc_RNA from 1 species
CGUUACAUGUAAAGGCCCGUGCAACAAUAUCUGCGCCAUCUCUCACUUGGAUCAAGAGAAAUUGAGAGAUCUGAGAAUGAUAGAGUCGAGAGAAGAGAGAAGCAGCUCUUAAGAUCCUUAUCCGCUUUAUCUCCGCUUCUAUAUGUAAUAUGUACACAAAAUACAAAGAGAGUAGAAAGCACAGAAUGUGAAAAGAAAGAAGAGAGAGAGAGAGUGAGUGAUUUGCGAUAUUAUUAGCUCUUGAAAAAGCUCGC